rnacentral:lncRNA from 1 species
CUACUGCAUGGCCUACACUACUUCGGUGAGACCUCUGACCUGUUGAACCAGCAGGUCAAACUGCUCCAUACCGACUACCAUCGCCGGAGGAAGAGGAGCCUGGGAAAUCGGAGAUGAGGCCAGGGCUUGCGGAGCUCACUGAGAUCUGGCCGUGGAGGCCGUUGACCGCCUGGUGGAUGCCCUUCGGGGAGGCAUCAGGUGGAGACCGGGCAGGCAACCGGAGGAGGAGAUAUCGGAGAAG